GAUGAAGAACGUAGCGAAAUGCGAUACGUAAUGUGAAUUGCAGAAUUCAGUGAAUCAUCGAGUCUUUGAACGCACAUUGCGCCCCCUGGUAUUCCGGGGGGCAUGCCUGUCCGAGCGUCAUUACAACCCUCAAGCUCAGCUUGGUGUUGGGCCCCGCCGCCCCGGCGGGCCCUAAAGUCAGUGGCGGUGCCGUCCGGCUCCGAGCGUAGUAAUUCUUCUCGCUCUGGAGGCCCGGUCGUGUGCUCGCCAGCAACCCCCAAUUUUUUUCAGGUUGACCUCGGAUCAGGUAGGGAUACCCGCUGAACUUAAGCAUAUCAAUAAGCGGAGGA
rnacentral:misc_RNA from 1 species